CGGAGAGCAUUUCAAUUUCAGAAUUGUGUCACCGCUCUCUCCUCUCCCUACCACCGGGCGACUAUCAAAUUUCACGUUGCGCUUCGGAAAUGUAUUUCCCAUCGAAAAGCAAAAUGUAGAGUG
ensembl:ncRNA Y71H9A.5 ncRNA